GCUCAUUAAAUCAGUUAUGGUUCCUUAGAUCGUACCCACAUUACUUGGAUAACUGUGGUAAUUUAGAGCUAAUACAUGCAAACAGAGUUCCGACCGGAGACGGGAGGAAUGCUUUUAUUAGAUCAAAACCAAUCGGCGGCGUGCGCGUUCGCGCGCCCGUUCGCCGCUCAACCUGGUGACUCUGAAUAACUUUAGGCUGAUCGCACGGUCCAGCACCGGCGACGCAUCUUUCAAAUGUCUGCCUUAUCAACUGUCGAUGGUAGGUUCUGCGCCUACCAUGGUCGUAACGGGUAACGGGGAAUCAGGGUUCGAUUCCGGAGAGGGAGCCUGAGAAACGGCUACCACAUCCAAGGAAGGCAGCAGGCGCGCAAAUUACCCACUCCCGGCACGGGGAGGUAGUGACGAAAAAUAACGAUACGGGACUCAUCCGAGGCCCCGUAAUCGGAAUGAGUACACUUUAAAUCCUUUAACGAGGAUCAAUUGGAGGGCAAGUCUGGUGCC
rnacentral:rRNA from 1 species